rnacentral:rRNA from 1 species
UACGAAGGGGGCUAGCGUUGCUCGGAAUCACUGGGCGUAAAGGGUGCGUAGGCGGGUCUUUAAGUCAGGGGGGAAAUCCUGGAGCUCAACUCCAGAACUGCCUUUGAUACUGAAGAUCUUGAGUUCGGGAGAGGUGAGUGGAACUGCGAGUGUAGAGGUGAAAUUCGUAGAUAUUCGCAAGAACACCAGUGGCGAAGGCGGCUCACUGGCCCGAUACUGACGCUGAGGCACGAAAGCGUGGGGAGCAAACAGG